UACCGAGUUUACAACUCCCAAACCCCUGUGAACAUACCUUACUUGUUGCCUCGGCGGAUCAGCCCGCUCCCAAACGGGACGGCCCGCCAGAGGACCCCUAAACUCUGUUUCUAUAUGUAACUUCUGAGUAAAACCAUAAAUAAAUCAAAACUUUCAACAACGGAUCUCUUGGUUCUGGCAUCGAUGAAGAACGCAGCAAAAUGCGAUAAGUAAUGUGAAUUGCAGAAUUCAGUGAAUCAUCGAAUCUUUGAACGCACAUUGCGCCCGCCAGUAUUCUGGCGGGCAUGCCUGUUCGAGCGUCAUUUCAACCCUCAAGCACAGCUUGGUGUUGGGACUCGCGUUAAUUCGCGUUCCUCAAAUUGAUUGGCGGUCACGUCGAGCUUCCAUAGCGUAGUAGUAAAACCCUCGUUACUGGUAAUCGUCGCGGCCACGCCGUUAAACCCCAACUUCUGAAUGUUGACCUCGGAUCAGGUAGGAAUACCCGCUGAACUUAAGCAUAUCAAAAAGGCGGGAGGAAGAA
rnacentral:rRNA from 1 species